rnacentral:rRNA from 1 species
UACGAAGGGGGCUAGCGUUGUUCGGAAUUACUGGGCGUAAAGCGCACGUAGGCGGACUAUUAAGUCAGGGGUGAAAUCCCGGGGCUCAACCCCGGAACUGCCUUUGAUACUGGUAGUCUCGAGUCCGGAAGAGGUGAGUGGAAUUCCGAGUGUAGAGGUGAAAUUCGUAGAUAUUCGGAAGAACACCAGUGGCGAAGGCGGCUCACUGGACCGGCAUUGACGCUGAUGUGCGAAAGCGUGGGGAGCAAACAGG